UAUGGCGGAAGGAUCUGUGUGCGCUGUUAACUUCACCUCAUGUUUCUGAGGACAAAGAUGAAGAACCCAUGACCGUGUCUGCAAUCACCUCACCAAGGCAGCUGGAGUCCACACCACUGACUAUUGCUGAUGCAACAUAAACUUGGAAAUGGCAGCACUGCCAAUGCGCACUCAUUUGUGCUCUCUGCUGAUUGCGCCUCCAAGAGCGCACCUGCUAGUGCAACUCCUGUUGAGGCUGCGCCGGUGCACAGCUGCGAGCAAUCACCAGCAAUCAACGCACCGGAACCUGAUCAUCAGACCCGCCUUCAUAAGCCUGCACAACCUGCUAUCUCGGGCCAGAACCAAUCGUUCGUUCCCGCGUGACAAGCUGUUUCCUCUUACACUGUGUUCUCCGGCUGCCUCUUGGAUCUCGACCUCCCGCUUGGACACAGACCUUCGACGCCUCUCUAUCGCCGCCGACUUCCUCCCUGCUCACGGAUCUACGAGCUUGUCUUUCCCCUCUGGAACUUUUGCCUCUCGCUCAACACUCUCGGUAACACACAACAGUUAAUUCACACACAUAGUCGCGCACCAUACACACUCUUGGAUUUAGUCACACUCCAUUUCCCUAAUUUAUUUAUAUUAUUAAGAUGUUAUUUAUAUAUAGUAUUUAUAUAUAAAUAAAUAUAGCGCUAAAAACUA